GCCCCGUUAGCUCAACUGGAUAGAGUACCGGUCUUCGGAACCGGGGGUUCGGGUUCAAAUCCCGCACGGGGCA
rnacentral:tRNA from 1 species